ensembl:lncRNA
AGACCUCCCCGAGCACCGGUACCUCAGUCCGAUCUGCCCCCAUUUCAUUCACCAAAACGAUUCCCGAGAGAAACUUCGACACAAAGCAAACCUCCACAGAGAUGACUUAUCUGCUGUUGAAGGUGGUCGUCCCCGUGGUUAUAGCAGCGGCGCUCAUCCUGGCGUUUGUGGCGCUGAUGCUCUGGAGGAGAUGCAGAGGAAGUGGCGACGCAAACGGAGAAACUGUGAACCCUGAGGAUGGAGUCACCUACGCCUCGGUUCAGAUCAACCAGAAGAAAACCAAGAACCGAAAGAGCCCCCAGAGCAGAGACGGGGAGGAGGAUGUGACCUACAGCUCUGUGAACGUCCCCGGUCAGCGGCCCUCGUCUGAGCAGAGGAAAACAGGUGAUCCCCAAGACAAUGUCACCUACGUCGCGGUUAAUUUCAACAACAAAAAGAAGAAGAAGAGCGAUAAGAGCCGAGCUGAAGACGAGGACGUGACGUACAGCUCCGUGAACGUCGCUGCUGCAGCUGGAUCGGACUCUGUCCACAAACCAAAGUAACAUUACUCUCACUCAGUGUUGGGGAGAAUACUAUGACACUGUAUUUAGUUACUGAAUACUUGCCUUAAAAUGUAUUUUGUAACGUAUUCUGUUACUUUGUCUAAUCAGAGUACUGUAUUCUGAAUACUUUUAGAAUACUUUCACACUGAUUGUCAUUAUAUUUAUGUGUAAAUAUGGUGAAUAAUUACAACAAUAAAGACUAGGAUUAUUCAAACACCUGUUAUAAACUCACUUACCAUUAAUUAAGAACCAAAAAACUCUCUUGGCCAAUGGAGCAGCAGAUACAGCAUCAUGUGACACAUGUGUUUGUAUGAACUGUGACAUAAGGCGUUUAAAUCUUUAUUUUAUUUUAGGAGGAAAAACAGGUCAACAUUAAAGUUCUUUCUUAAUAAUAUUGUACAAUAUGGAGCUAACAUUUAGGCCUAAUGACUGAAUACUGGGAUGUUUUCCCUUGAUAUUUGGAAAGUAACUGUAUUUUAAACACUCUCAAAUUAAAGUGUAACUUUACCAGAAUACAGUUACUCAAAAUGAAUAUUCUAAAUACAUGUAUUUAGUUACUCCCCAACACUGCUCUUACUUGAGUAAAUAUUUUGGCUGAGGUGGAGGUAGGCCUACCUCCACCUCAGUUUUAAACUUUAGAAUGUUGUGAUGUCAACUGUCCCAUCACUGGCAUCCACAGUCAGUGAUGGGACUUUUUACUGGCUUUUCCAUAAACCGCUUUUUUGUUUUGUCUUAUUCCCCAUGUAAAGCGUUUGAGUGUCCAAAGAAGCGCUAUACAAAAAAAUUAAAGUUUCUAAUUUUCAUUGUCCCACCCCCCCAAAUAUGUUCAUAAUGUAGUUUUAUCAUAUGGUACUUUUUACUUCUACUUGAGUAAAAAUAAUUGUUACUUUAAGCGACAAAUUGCUUCAUUUUGAUAAAAAAGGAUGUACAUCGUGCUCCUUGUUCUUUCUAAUUAUUUUGUUCUUCUGUAUUUUCUUCAUGAUUUUAUGUUUUGUUUCACACAAUGUAUG